GGGGAAGGGGGUGGAUCCAGUGGUGCGCCGGGAAUGAACUGACCCAAGUGAGCUGGGACAUGUGCAUACAGAGAGCAGAGGCAGAAGUCAAGGAACUGGAGGCUGAGGAACCCAGCGGACCACGAAAGCAGGGAGAUAACUAGACAGCAUGCUCGGCUGGAAGGACCAAAGUCAGAGAAGGAAAAAUGAAUAAGAAAAUGAGCAGUCAGAGGCAGCUAGGGUGACGGACAGACAGCAUGAAGCGCAGCAGAAUGAAUAGCCAGAAGACUCGGACAGGCAGAGCCGAAGGACCGCAGAGCUCAGCGCCGGAGACAUGAAAACUGAGGCCCAGACCAGCUAAGCAUUUUGAUCACGGUCACCCAGAGCCACAGUGGAGAUCAGGAGAAAACUGAUUCCCAGGCCAGUGCUCUUUUGCUUCUACUCGGUCAGAGGUGUGGGGUCCUUCGAGACAGUGGUUGGCUGCAGGCUCCUGGACAGAUCCGCACCUUCAUAGCUGUGUGAAGGAGAUUUCCCACGUUGGCAUAGCAGCCACUGGGGAGCUGGUUUCCUGCCAUCCACUUGAGAGCAUCCUGGAUGUUCUUGGGAUCAAUGAAGAUGAAUUUCUGAGCUUGGCCAAAGCAUUUUGUGACAAACGCUGUCAGCCUACAUGGGUAAAGAG
rnacentral:lncRNA from 10 species